rnacentral:rRNA from 1 species
UACGGAGGGUGCAAGCGUUAUCCGGAUUCACUGGGUUUAAAGGGUGCGUAGGUGGGCAGGUAAGUCAGUGGUGAAAUCCCCGAGCUUAACUUGGGAACUGCCGUUGAUACUAUCUGUCUUGAAUACUGCGGAGGUAAGCGGAAUAUGUCAUGUAGCGGUGAAAUGCUUAGAGAUGACAUAGAACACCAAUUGCGAAGGCAGCUUGCUACACAGUAAUUGACGCUGAGGCAAGAAAGCGUGGGGAGCAAACAGG